AACAAAAAAAUAAGUGAAAAAGAUAAGGGGAAAACAAAGGAAAAGCACAUGAAAGGCUGUCAUUAUGUACCGAACGGCAACAUAUCUUUCCAAAUAUCUGAGCUUGGGUAUACGAAGGAAAUCCAACCCCUUAGGAAGAUGGGUUAUAUGCCUUAAUUGACCAAA
rnacentral:ribozyme from 1 species